AAACUCCCCUCCUCCUGUCACCACCUCGCUGCCACCCUCUCGUCUCUCUUCCCGGUACCCGGCAGGCGAACGAGGGGAAGGUGAGGUUGCCGCUGAUUGGCUGUCCGCGGGCGAAGGAAGAUGGCUCCUGAUUGGUUGAGGCUCCAGGAAGGGCAGUUGAGACAUUGCGACUCCGAGCAGGCACGGGCAAGACCAAGACGGCAGCUGCCAAGACGCUCAAGAAUUCCCAUUCCCAUGCCUCCUCCUGCCUUCUGUGUAUGUGAAAGAAAAGGGGGGGGGGGGGGAAAUACAUACCAGACGUUUUUUUUUUUUUUUUUUUUUUUUUUUGCUUGUCCGGACUUGGCCCCAAGAUUGGGAGUCAACCUGCUUGGCUGCUCCCAAACCACGAACGAGUGCAGGCAGGUGAGAUGGGAUGAUUUGGAUGAUUUGUCCUCCGUACGGACAGAAAGAAAGUGAAUAUUGACACCGGCGCAUAAAUUACAAGGAACAAUUUCACGCCGAGAUCCUGCAAAGCUGCCGCAUCAGAUGCAGCUCGGAGAGGUGAGGCUGAGGCCAGAACAUUUUGAGGUUUGAAAAACAAAAACCGGAAUCCGAAAAUGACCUCUGAAGUGCACAAGCAGUUGGUGGGGGAAGGCCAGAAUAAGAGUUAUGUGCUCCCUCUUACGUGCUCCAGUUGAGCGGGACAAUGCCAGCUUUUACAGGCAACGUGAAAUGGAAAAUUAAACAAGCGUUAACACUCACAACUAUGGAGGAUUUCAGUUAAUAUACAGCAUGGACGCUGAUGAUCCAAGGCAUACCACAUCAUACGUCAGGCAGUGUUGCAGGGUUGAGGAACCCUUUUUGGUCCUCUGAGAGCCGUAAAAGUUCACACGAAAAAAAUAAGGCGGAACAUUUUGGGCUCAACUCAAUUCAAAUAUAUUCAUUUGUAUCUAUUUUGUAUUUGUUUAUCUGUUCGUGAUUAUAUUAUAUUGUUAUGCACUGUGAAUACGUUUAUUUACCAUAAGUAAUGAAAUAAAAAAUAUUAAUGAAAUAUACAAGUUGAACUAUAGAUGCCAUCUUAAAAAUUGAAUAAUUGGUCCAUAAUUGAGCAUGAUUAGAAUACACAAUUUUAUUUGUUGAAUUAAUUUAGAGCAGUUUUCCCCAGAAACUGGCUAGUCUUAUUGUACUUAUUUGUAUCAAUGUAUCUCUAAAUAAUAUUGGUAAAAUAAUAAUAAAAUACAAUAUUUAUCGUAAAAUAUUAUUCAUCAAUGAUAAAGUAUCAGUAAAAGAAACAAUUUUCUUAUACCGUCCUUGUUUAUUUCAUUAAAUAAUUGGUUAAUGAACUGUAAUUAAAUUAUUAAAUUCUAAAUAAUCUUUUUUUUUUUACCUCACGUAUAAAUGAGUUGGCCCAUGUCUCCGUUUUAAAACCCCAAACCCGACCCUCAAGCACAAAAGUGUGGCCACCCCAGAUCCAAAGCAUACCACAUCAUGCAGAUUUCAAGCUCUCGCAGGCCCCACCCCCCUCCAUCACUUACUGUGACCCUGCUGGUCACAUGACCAGAUGUUACGAGCAGGCGGCGGCGGCGGCGGCGGCGUUGUUGUUGUGGCUACGCUGCGAUGCGUAUGUGCGGUUCGACUGGUCUGGCAACAUUGUGGCAAAACUGGUUGGUGCGCAACGGGAGGGUGGAAGUAGAGGAAGUGUCAAAUGAGGAAGAUUUAAGAGUUAGCUUCCUCUUACAGGCGGGAAGGCACGGCGGGAUAUUCUGAUGUGGUAAUGUGCGGGUUUGGGGGGCGUACGGUGGCCCCGAAGAGACAAAAAGACGUCCCGUUUGUUGUCAAAGCUGUGAUUUAGUCUUCAUUUAGCCGUCACACCGACGACACCGCCUUGAGCGGGUUGGCCUAUUGCUGAUACGUCAAUGUGUCCGCCAUAUUGGAUGUGGCCGAUGUGCCCGUAAACUAACCUAACAACUUCAUAAAGUGGCAACCUACUUCGUUAAAGCUUCUCGUUCACCCAUCCACUAAUAUAUUUAGAAAACAGAUGUAUAUGCAUAUUUUUAAGAUAUCAUUUUUUAAAAUGUUUUUUUUUCCAGUCCCAAGUUUUGAGUUGCGCACAUCCCGUGUAGUACCACGUUGUGCCACAACAUGUUGGGCAGUACUGAGCUUUUCUGGAAGACAUGCAACAAGAAAAAGAAGUAGAAAAGGUCCCCUACUCAGCUGCCGUAACAUUCAUUGUUCCCACUAUAUAUAGAGAGAGAGAAGAGGCAAAAUAUGCCUGCGAGUGUUGUUGUAUGCUGUGUUUGUAUGUGUUGCUGCUCUGUGUGUGUUAGAGGAGCAGUUGUUUGAAGGUUUAUAAAUCAGCAUAACAUCUAUGCUAAUUUCCAUUAGUCUGUCUAUGGCGUUUCGCAUUACUGUAUAUGUUAGCAUUAAGAUCAACUUUCCUGAGACAAAAUAUGAUUGUUUUUUUUUUUACUCACAUACACAAUGUGUAAUUCUAUUUUGUUUUAUGUAUCAGUUUUACAGUUAACUUAAACUGGGGGUGAGAAAUAAACAGUUUGAAGCAA